rnacentral:rRNA from 1 species
ACGGGAGGUAGCAGUGGGGAAUAUUGCGCAAUGGGGGGAACCCUGACGCAGCAACGCCGCGUGAAGGAAGAAGGCCUUCGGGUUGUAAACUUUUGUCGCAAGGGAAGAAGGAAGUGACGGUACCUUGUGAGAAAGCCACGGCUAACUACGUGCCAGCAGCCGCGGUAAUACGUAGGUGGCGAGCGUUGUCCGGAUUUACUGGGUGUAAAGGGCGCGUAGGCGGGCUGUCAAGUCAGAUGUGAAAUGCCGGGGCUUAACCUCGGAGCUGCAUUUGAAACUGACAGUCUUGAGUAUCGGAGAGGAAAGCGGAAUUCCUGGUGUAGCGGUGAAAUGCGUAGAUAUCAGGAGGAACACCGGUGGCGAAGGCGGCUUUCUGGACGACAACUGACGCUGAGGCGCGAAAGUGUGGGGAGCAAACAGGAUUAGAUACCCUGGUA